GCGGUACUAUUGAACGACUCCUCGAAUCUUAAUCGGAGAAACUCUUUCAAGCUAGCAUUUGGGAUGGAAGCCAUAAUCCAAGUUGAAAUUGGCCAACCAUUGACUCGGAUGGACAAUUAUGGUGAAUCGAUCGAUUCGGACAAACGACAGGCUGAUCUAAACUUGUUCGAGAAAACUCAGAGAAGGGCUCAACUAAGGAUGGCCUC
rnacentral:lncRNA from 1 species